AUACGAAGGGGGCUAGCGUUGUUCGGAAUUACUGGGCGUAAAGCGCACGUAGGCGGACUGGAAAGUUGGGGGUGAAAUCCCGGGGCUCAACCCCGGAACUGCCUCCAAAACUUCCAAUCUAGAGAUCGAGAGAGGUGAGUGGAAUUCCAAGUGUAGAGGUGAAAUUCGUAGAUAUUUGGAGGAACACCAGUGGCGAAGGCGGCUCACUGGCUCGAUACUGACGCUGAGGUGCGAAAGCGUGGGGAGCAAACAGGAUUAGAAACCCUAGUAGUCC
rnacentral:rRNA from 1 species